rnacentral:rRNA from 1 species
CAAAAACAUAACCUUUAGCCAAAACAAAUAUUAAAGGCAACGCCUGCCCAGUGAACAAUUAAACGGCCGCGGUACCCUAACCGUGCAAAGGUAGCAAAAUCAUUUGUCUAUUAACUGUAGACCUGUAUGAAAGGCAAAAUGAGGGUUUAACUGUCUCUUAUAAUAAAUCUAUUAAACUGAUCCCCCAGUAAAAAAGCUGGAAUACCCCCAUAAGACCAGAAGACCCUGUGAAGCUUCAAUUAAACUAUUAAACCCCAUAAUAACUACUUUAGGUUGGGGCGACCUUGGAAACAAAAAGAACUUCCAAAAACCACACCUCCACUUAGGCUCACGAGCCAAUCAACGACCCAGUAAUACUGAUAAAUGAACAAAGUUACUCCAGGGAUAACAGCGCCAUCUUCUUCAAGAGCCCAUAUCAAAAAGAAGGUUUACGACCUCGAUGUUGGAUCAGGACACCCCAAUGGUGCAGCCGCUAUUAAAGGUUCGUUUGUUCAACGAUUAAUGUCCUACGUGAU